GCUCAGGACGAACGCUGGCGGCGUGCUUAACACAUGCAAGUCGAACGGAAAGGCCCUGCUUUUGUGGGGUGCUCGAGUGGCGAACGGGUGAGUAACACGUGAGUAACCUGCCCUUGACUUUGGGAUAACUUCAGGAAACUGGGCCUAAUACCGGAUAGGAGCUCCUGCUGCAUGGUGGGGGUUGGAAAGUUUCGGCGGUUGGGGAUGGACUCGCGGCUUAUCAGCUUGUUGGUGGGGUAGUGGCUUACCAAGGCUUUGACGGGUAGCCGGCCUGAGAGGGUGACCGGCCACAUUGGGACUGAGAUACGGCCCAGACUCCUACGGGAGGCAGCAGUGGGGAAUAUUGCACAAUGGGCGGAAGCCUGAUGCAGCAACGCCGCGUGCGGGAUGACGGCCUUCGGGUUGUAAACCGCUUUCGCCUGUGACGAAGCGUGAGUGACGGUAAUGGGUAAAGAAGCACCGGCUAACUACGUGCCAGCAGCCGCGGUGAUACGUAGGGUGCGAGCGUUGUCCGGAUUUAUUGGGCGUAAAGGGCUCGUAGGUGGUUGAUCGCGUCGGAAGUGUAAUCUUGGGGCUUAACCCUGAGCGUGCUUUCGAUACGGGUUGACUUGAGGAAGGUAGGGGAGAAUGGAAUUCCUGGUGGAGCGGUG
rnacentral:rRNA from 1 species